rnacentral:rRNA from 1 species
UACGAGGGGGGCAAAUGUUGUUCGGAAUCACUGGGCGUAAAGGGAGCGUAGGCGGGUUCUUAAGUAAGGUGUUUAAUCCCGGGGCCCAACCCCGGACCGGCACUUUAAACUGGGAAUCUUGAAUAGUGGAGAGGUCGGUGGAAUUGGGGGUGUAGCGGUGGAAUGCGUAGAGAUCCCCAAGAACACCAGUUGCGAAGGCGGCCGACUGGACACAUAUUGACGCUGAGGCUCGAAAGCAUGGGGAGCAAACGGG